UAAAAAUUAUAAAUAACUGUGGCGGAAAGCAUAAAUAUUAUUAUUACUAAUAAUUUUUUUUAUAAUAAAUUAUGAUGGCACAUUUUCCCCUAAAUUGUAUUGUUAAUAGUUACUGUAUAACACCUUUAUAUGAAAAGUGAUUAGAUUUUAUGCUGUGUGUUAGAUGGCAAUUUACUGUUGUGCACUUUGAAUAUUUAUAAAUAUUUUUAACAGAGGUAUAAUGCAGAGUUACUCACUCAUGUUUAUUUUUUUUGUAAGUAGUUCGUGAAAUGUCAUCAUUGUCUCAUUUGUCUGUUCAUAACUCAAAACUAUAAACAAAUAAUGUAAAACAACAUCCAAAUAUGUAAAUUUAUACAGUUUAAUAUUUUACUUGUAUUGCAGUAAUUCAAUGCAGUACUAUAAUUCUUAACCAUCAAUGCACUAUGCAUCUGUAAUAUUAUAAGUUCUACUAUUAUAUUGUUUUAAUUGUUGAUAGUGUCUUUAUUAUUAUUAUUAUUAUUAGGUAUUAAUUACUUUUAUGAAGAAAUCCACUGGUGCUCUAUUGGGUUCAGACAUUUUUAGUUUGAGUAAUGUUUAUGCAUUUAUAGUUUUGUGGUUUCUAUAGAAACAAAUAACCUCAUAAAGUUUUGAAGUUAGUUCCGCCCUUUUAUCUUCUUAUUAUUUAAGGUUUUAUCAGAAUAUUACAGGAUAUCAUGAUUAGUUAUGGACUCAGGACUGUGCCAAAAAGAUAUCAGUACUUAAUGACGAUACAAAUGGUCCAACAAGAUCUAAUUUUUUUAGCAGAAAUCACCUUAAAGUUGAAGAUAAUUGUCAGAUAAAAAAAAAACAUAAUUGCAUAAAACCGAUAUAGGGAUAUCGACGUCUAGAACAUUAUUCGUCUCAAUUCAACAUACUUUCUACAUUCCCUAAAUAUAAUUAAAAUAAAAGUUAAAGCCAUUAAAUAUUUAGAUAUAGUUUAUAAGUUAUAAAUCACUUAUAACCUACCUAUAGCUAACAGCUAAUCUAUAGCUAAUAAAUAUAAUUUAUAAUAAUAUUAUUUUAGUACUUAGUGAGUAGUUUGGUAAAUAGUAUAACUAGUAUAAGUAUUAAAAAAGCAGAACCGCGCGCAAUUCGCAAAGGUAAUUUAAGUAAGAGACAUACCAAUAAGGUGGGUACCAUAUAUUAUAUUUAUAAUAUAGUCUAUAGUAUAGACUCUAUAGCAGGUUAGGUUAGGUUCUGUAAUCAUAUUAGUAUACUAAUUGGAUAUUAUUUUAUACGUAAUAUAAUAAUUGCAUGCUUUCAUGUUUUACGUUAAUUUAUACGAUUUAUUAAUUGACAUAAAAUAAAUAAUAUUAUUGUUUACUCAAUAUUAUAUUUACCGGUUUAUGUCGUAAUAAUACCUAUUUGUUCAUUUAUAAUAGCUAUUUUUAAACUAAACAAUUCUUUAUUCUGCAGUUCUUCAUUCCUAUUUUUGAAUCAUAUAUUGUAUCUAACUAUUUUUUAAUUAGUUAAUUAAGCAAAAACAUUCCACAGACCGUGUGGCUUGCCAAAAACACAUGCUCAUCUAAACAACGUAAAUACAAGCUAAAAACCGUAUUCUUAGAUCUUUAAUUUGAAGUAGAUGCAUAAAAUGUUAAAUAAUAAUUUAAUAACAGACAUUUUUCGUAGAUGGUUAAAUAAUUAAUAUGAUGGAUUAAUGUUAUAUUAUUUAUUAUUAAAAACUAAUUUAAAAACUAUUAUGUGGAAAUGAACACCAAUAAUUUACAAGAAUUUCCAUAGAAAUUUGUUUUCUAAUGUAUUAAUUUUAAAAUAAUAAUAGAAUAAUAGAUAAUAAUAUAAUUUAUUUAUCUGUAGUAAUACCUAGUAUGUAUGAAUAUUAAAUAGUUUUUCAUUUUGAGAAGAAGCUGUAGAACGACACACGUUACAUGUACCUAUAUUUAUUUAAAUUAAUAAUGUUUUUUUAGUUAACACGUCAUAAAUGACCUAACUUAACACUUUCAUAGCAAUAAAAUGAUUUAAUUUUCAACUUUGAAGGUAGUUUUUAAUAAAAAUUUAAUCUAGUUGGCACUUAGUACCUUACAAAAGAUCAAAAGUAAAAAUUUUCAGUAUUUUUAAAAUAAUCGAAAAAUAAAACAAGGAAAAACGGAAAUUUUUACACAAACCUAGUUUUUGACAAAAUCGAUUUUGUUACUCACAAACAAAUAAACGUAAUUAAUGAUUUUCUAGAUGUUUUUUUGUAUUCAAAAUGUUAUUUCGAGAACUUGAAAUUUUUAACGUUUAUUAUUAUAUUUUAUAGUUAUAUUAAAUUACUACUUUAUAUAUUAUUGUCAAUCGAUUGUGAUUGUCCCUCCCGGUUGAUAAUCCUUUCGGUAUUUUGGUUCUUGCGGUAGAUUGACCCAACAGAAGGCUAAAACUACACUGAAUACCUAACUACACUUUACAGCGAGCCUACAGCUUACAGAUUACCUAUACUAAUUUUCUUUUUUUAAUAAUGAGAAAAACUAUAAAAAAAAUACCAAAAAGCGGUAAUAUUUACGCAACACCUGCAAUUUUUAUUUUUUAUUUUGUAAUGCAUAAAGGAUUAAAGCAAUGGCGUAGCUAUGUUGGGAGCCAGUGGAUCAUGCCCCCCCCCCAUCGGCUGUAUAAACUUAAUAUAAAAAUGAACUGUUAUUGUUAAUUGUUGAUUAUGUUUUUUUAGUAUUUUGGGUUUCCUCCCAUCUUAAAAUCCUGGCUACGCCACUAGAUAGUAGAUUAAAGGAAUAACCAUAGGACCGAGUAUACAUUAUCAUAUUUAAUUUAACCAAUAGUUUGGCAUUUAAAUUGUUACUCAUUUAAAUUUCUUUAAACGUUUCUUAGAGUAAUAAUAAUAAUAAUCAAUAAUAUUAUUAAUUGUAUGUACUGUGUGUUAGUUUAGAAUAAUACAAUUUAAUGGUUUCAUAACAACAUAAAAACUGUAAAUAAUUUAAAAUGUGAUAUAGUAGGUACUUACAUAUUAUUUAUUAAUAUUUGCUAGGUAUAAUAUCUGUACCUAUAUUGUUUUUACGCAGGAAUGUUUAAUCUACUUAUUUAAGAUAAACUUUAUCUCUAUUUAAUAUUUAAUAUCUAAUAUUUGUUAUGUAUAUUAUAUUAUUAUGUUAACAUUAUGUUUUCACUGUUUUACAUAAUUUUUUUAAAUAUUUAUCACGCAAUUAUCAAUAUAUAUAUUUACAAAGUUGUACCAUAGACGCAUAGGCGUAAACUGGGGGGUUCGCAAAGAGGGCCAUUGCCUCUCUAGAACAGAUUAGGAGUAAGUAAUAUAAUAAUAAUCAAUAAUAUAUUUAUAUGUGAUUAUAUAUAUGCCCCCCUAAUAAAUUUCCAAGUUACGCUCAUGCAACAUAGACAGAACAUAAUAAUGUAGGUACCUAUAAAAUAUAUAUACAUAAGGUAUUAACGUAUAAAGGGGAUUACACACUAGGCGAUUCGAACGCGCGUGUCCGCAUUUUUAAAACGUCGCGAUUUUAAAUCGCACUCCUUACACAUUAGACGCGUAUCAACGCGUUCGUCGCGUUUUAAAACCGCGCCGCGCUUUCACACUGGACGAUUUGUGUGCGUUUUUCAAAAAUAAAAAGCGCGCCAAAUGUUAUUUGAACCAUUAAAUUCUUUGUACUUUGUCGUAUACUAGGUUAGUACUGCUGUUACCGCCCGUUGUGGAUGACUGCUGUUCAAUUCGUACUCAACUUAAAAAUUAAUUUUAUUUCGUUUCGUCUAUUUUAUUUUUUAAUAUGGAAGAAUUUGAUGUUAUUGAAGUCGCAUGCAUUAUAUGAUGAACAUGAAGUCAGCAAGAAACAAAAAAGAGACAAAAUUAAAAGACGACAUUGGAUCUAUCCUUUAAAUUUAAAAAGACCAGAAAAUGGUCAGUUCCAGGUGAC